GCCUCUUUAGCUCAGUUGGUCAGAGCAAGUGAUUUGUAAUCUCGGGGUCGUUGGUUCGAAUCCGACAAGAGGCU
rnacentral:tRNA from 1 species